GACGAACGCUGGCGGCGUGCUUAACACAUGCAAGUCGAACGGAAAGGCCCUGCUUUUGUGGGGUGCUCGAGUGGCGAACGGGUGAGUAACACGUGAGUAACCUGCCCUUGACUUUGGGAUAACUUCAGGAAACUGGGGCUAAUACCGGAUAGGAGCUCCUGCUGCAUGGUGGGGGUUGGAAAGUUUCGGCGGUUGGGGAUGGACUCGCGGCUUAUCAGCUUGUUGGUGGAGUAGUGGCUUACCAAGGCUUUGACGGGUAGCCUGCCUGAGAGCGUGACCGGCGACAUGGGGACUGAGAGACGCACCAGACUCCUACGUGAGGCAGCAGUGGGGAAUAUGGCACAAUGGGCGGAAGCCUGAUGCAGCAACGCCGCGUGCGGGAUGACGGCUUACGGGUGGUAAACAGCUGUCGCCGGUGACGAAGCGUGAGUGACGGUAAUGGGUAAAGAAGCACCGGCUAACUACGUG
rnacentral:rRNA from 1 species